rnacentral:rRNA from 1 species
AUACGUAGGGGGCGAGCGUUAUCCGGAAUUAUUGGGCGUAAAGAGUACGUAGGUGGUUUCUUAAGCAUGGGGUUUAAGGCAAAGGCUUAACCAUUGUUCGCCCCAUGAACUGGGUAACUUGAGUACUGGAGGGGAAAGCGGAAUUCCUAGUGUAGCGGUGAAAUGCGUAGAUAUUAGGAGGAACACCAGUGGCGAAGGCGGCUUUCUGGACAGUAACUGACACUGAGGUACGAAAGUGUGGGGAGCAAACAGGAUUAGAUACCCUGGUAGUCCACACCGUAAACGAUGAGCACUAGGUGUCGGCCUAGCAAUAGGUCGGUGCCGAAGUUAACGCAUUAAGUGCUCCGCCUGGGGAGUACGUACGCAAGUAUGAA